UUGCCUUGACCUGUCAAGACUCCUCAUUUCACUCCUAAAAAUGAAGUCCUUGUCUCAGCUCCUGUGGCUGUUAAUGCUCUGGAUCCCUGGAUCCAGUGGAGAUGUUGUGAUGACCCAGUCUCCAAGUUCCCUGUCUGUCACACUGGGAGAGUCGGCCUCCAUCUCCUGCAAGUCUAGUCAUAACCUUCUGUAUGAGGAUGGACACAUCUACCUCGAUUGGUUCCUGCAGAAGCCAGGCCAGAUUCCACAACUCCUGAUCUAUAAGGCUUCCAACAGAGCAUCUGGGGUCCCAGUCAGAUUCAGUGGCAGUGGGUCAGGCACAGAUUUCAUACUGAAAAUCAGCAGGGUAAAGGCUGAGGAUAUUGGAGUUUAUUAUUGCUUGCAAUAUACACAUUAUCCUCCCACAGUGAUACAGCCCUGAACUAAAACCUCCCUU